ACACACACACACACACACACACACACACACACACACACACACAUCGCAAAGGCGGGAGCUACGGAAAGCAGGGGAGCGCUGUCUGAAAUUCAGACUCACCAAGAAGAGGAAGGAAAGGCACAGUGAGCACGAUACCUCUGGUGAAGAUGCACCUCCACAUCAGUCUGAAGAAGGGUCACAACCCGAAAUGUCACCUAUUCCUUCGCUCUGUAGAUGCUGCCUCACCCGCUGAGUUUCUCCAGCAUCUUUGUCUACCAAGGAGUAUAUAAAGAUAGCCGUGACCGAUGGCCUUAAAGAUCAAAUAAUUGAAUAUCAAGAAAAGACAGACUUUCUACGAUUUCCAGAUAGGGAAAUGAAACAACACCAAAGCAAACACAAGGUCGGAGAUGACAAUUAUUUUAUUUUUCCUUCCAGACACAAUAUGGAUGAAAAAACGAAAUUUGUGAUCAAAUGCCCAAGUCAUUGAGCAAAAGGAACUGGAGUUUCUUUCUGUAAUUGGAAUCACAAUAUAAAGGGCGGCACGGUGGCGCACCGGUAGAAUUGCUGCUUUACAGCGUCAGAGACCCUGGUUCGAUCCUGACUACAGGUGGUGUCUGUACGGAGUUUGUACUUUCUCUCCUUGACCUGCGAGGGUUUUCUCCGAAAUCUUCAGUUUCCUCCCAUACUCUAAAGACGUACAGAUGCUGCUGCACCCGCUGAGUUUCUCCAGCAAUUUUGUGUACCUAUUGAACUGAUGGCUGUUGGUCUCCGCUGAUCCUGGGAAUUCUCAUAUGACGUUAUGGUGGCUGUUUAAGUGUUUAAGUCUAUGUUUAAUUUUUAUGUAGUUAAUGUAGUUUGUUGCUUUUUUGUA